rnacentral:rRNA from 1 species
CGGUAGCAGGAAGUGCUUGCACUUUGCUGACGAGUGGCGGACGGGUGAGUAAUACUUAGGAACAUGCCUUUGUGUGGGGGAUAACCAUUGGAAACGAUGGCUAAUACCGCAUAAUGUCUUUGGACCAAAGAGGGCUUUCGGGCUCUCGCGCAAAGAGUGGCCUAAGUGAGAUUAGCUUGUUGGUGAGGUAAAGGCUCACCAAGGCGACGAUCUCUAGCUGUUCUGAGAGGAAGAUCAGCCACACUGGGACUGAGACACGGCCCAGACUCCUACGGGAGGCAGCAGUGGGGAAUAUUGCACAAUGGGGGCAACCCUGAUCCAGCGAUGCCGCGUGAGUGAUGAAGGCCUUAGGGUUGUAAAACUCUUUCAGGGGUGAAGAUAAUGACGGUAACCCCAGAAGAAGCUCCGGCUAACUCCGUGCCAGCAGCCGCGGUAAUACGGAGGGAGCUAGCGUUGUUCGGAAUUACUGGGCGUAAAGCGCGCGUAGGCGGCUUGGCAAGUAGAGGGUGAAAUCCCAGGGCUUAACCCUGGAACUGCCUCCUAAACUGCUGAGCUAGAAUCCUGGAGAGGUGAGUGGAAUUCCUAGUGUAGAGGUGAAAUUCGUAGAUAUUAGGAAGA